rnacentral:tRNA from 1 species
CAGAACGUAGCUAAAACAGAAAAGCACCUCCCUUACACCGAGAAGCCGCCUGUGCAAAUCGGGCCGUCCCUG